rnacentral:ncRNA from 2 species
AUUAAAUAGUAUCUCCGAGCCAGAGUGACCUAAGGAUUAUGUCUAUGGUCCCUGGACAGGACUCUAAGUCCUCAGGGUGUUCUUGGAAACGAGUGUGCCUUCACAUUUUGAAAAGGAGUAAGGUGUAGACUAG